rnacentral:rRNA from 1 species
CAAGGCUAAAUACUCCCUAGUGACCGAUAGUGAACCAGUACCGUGAGGGAAAGGUGAAAAGCACCCCGGAAGGGGAGUGAAAUAGAACCUGAAACCGUGUGCCUACAACAAGUCAAAGCCCGUUAAUGGGUGAUGGCGUGCCUUUUGUAGAAUGAACCGGCGAGUUACGAUUGCAUGCGAGGUUAAGUUGAAGAGACGGAGCCGCAGCGAAAGCGAGUCUGAAUAGGGCGUUUGAGUAUGUAGUCGUAGACCCGAAACCAUGUGAUCUACCCAUGUCCAGGUUGAAGGUGCGGUAAAACGCACUGGAGGACCGAACCCACGUACGUUGAAAAGUGCGGGGAUGAGGUGUGGGUAGCGGAGAAAUUCCAAACGAACUUGGAGAUAGCUGGUUCUCUCCGAAAUAGCUUUAGGGCUAGCCUCGGAAUUGAGAAUGAUGGAGGUAGAGCACUGUUUGGACUAGGGGCCCAUCUCGGGUUAC